UUGCAUUUGUAGCCUAUGAGGAUGAGAACCUCCGGGGGCAGGGAGAUUCGACUCGAGCGAAGCGAGAGAACGUUGCGCCAGCAACGGCCCGCAGGGCGAGCCACGAAGUGGCGAGUAAUCCUC
rnacentral:sRNA from 1 species